UUGCUGYUUYGCUGACGAGUGGCGGACGGGUGAGUAAUGUCUGGGAAACUGCCUGAUGGAGGGGGAUAACUACUGGAAACGGUAGCUAAUACCGCAUAACGUCGCAAGACCAAAGAGGGGGACCUUCGGGCCUCUUGCCAUCGGAUGUGCCCAGAUGGGAUUAGCUWGUWGGUGGGGUAACGGCUCACCUAGGCGACGAUCCCUAGCUGGUCUGAGAGGAUGACCAGCCACACUGGAACUGAGACACGGUCCAGACUYC
rnacentral:rRNA from 1 species